AGCAGAUAUAAACACGCAAGCUGUAUUACCCUCACAUAGCCACUAGGAAGCAGGACCGAACAUAUAAGCCGUAAAUACUGUACAUAGCCACAAGGGGAGCAAGACCUUACUGAAGGCUGCUCAUUCCACAGAAGGCACCACCCAGAGUGGUAGAUAUAACAGAGUGGCAACACUUCCAUUGGACUCCGUUGUAGCGCCUACUUCCGGGGUAUGGAGCCUCGAAUAGUUCCAAACAACCAUUUUACUGUGUAGGAGACCAUUCAUUUCCAUUGCUGGCCGCCGAGUAACUUCUGAGGGUGAUGUCAAGAAGCCCUACAGAUGCCGCCGCUUCAACAAUGCUGAUUAUGAUGGGCGGUCAAUUUAACCUAAAUUAGUGUGACUGCUGAUGCUGUUGGUGGAUGCUGUUGGUGGCUGCUGGUGUUAGCGGCUGACGACGGCUGCUGAUGGUGGUGGCUGGUGCUGGCGUUGGCUGCUGGUGGUGGCUGCUGGUAGAUGCUGCUUGUUGUGACUGCUGGAAUAAGAGGAGGCUGGGGGCUGCGGAUGGUGGGCCAGGAAUGGAGAGGCCAAAUACAUCCAUGGCAAUCAGUAAGCCGUUCGGCAGUGGCCUAGAUGUUAUGACCUUAGCUCAUGGCAUGAGGGAAGGUUGCUGUCCAGACCCAUGGCCUCUCUUUCCUGCUGUGCCACUACAUUGGAACACUGCAUGAGGGAAUCACUCGUCUGAGAACGGAACAGCUGCUCCACGUUCUGCAGGAGAGUGAACACCUCAUCGGAUUGCCGGUUUAAUGCACCCCUUACAAAUUAUUUUAAUUCCAGGAAUACAGCUCUCUCACUUGCGGUAGUGGUGACUUUUUCCACCAGUGCACACUUGCAUUCAUCACAGAGUGAGAAGCCGAUAACCCUCUUCACUAUGUAUCCUGCUAGGUGGUAGAGGACACAGGACUCGGUCUUUGUCAUGUCAGGUGGUAAUGGGUCUACCAGCUGCUCCACUCUCACAACCUCAGAAGCACUGCAGCUGCUGUUCUGGGUUUCCAGGAAGUCCGCCAAGUGGUCUGAUGCAUCAUCCAGAUAACUGCCAGUAUGUGUUGUGGAGAGGAACUGCCCUACAGUGACAGCCCAUAGUGCAUAGUGGAACUCCACAGGUGUCGGGACAGAGUUCCUCUGACGUAUGCAAGAAAAAGUAUUUUCUAGGAAGUCCUGUGUGAACCGGCUUGUGAGAACAAAUUUGUGCCCUCGUCUCAACAGAUCUUGCUGGACCUCCUGAAUUGUUCUUGUGGCCAUCACCAGUCCAGUCUGGACUGGUUUCCAGCUGCCCUGGGGACCGAUCUUCAGGCCCGGAAAAAGAUGGAUCGAGUCGCGGAGGAAGCUGAUGGCCUUUUCAUACUCUCCCAUCUUGAAAUGACUGAGGGCACAAACAACAUUGCGGGACGACAUGAGGUCAAACCAGUGGUCCAUCUUCUCCAAAAACCAUGACGUUGUAAGGCUCAAGGGCACCUUGGGUGCCAGCUUAAGUGCCAUGCCCUCUUGGAAGGACACCAGAUCCUUUAAGGGGGCAACAGAGACUUCACUCGAUGCCAGCUGUCUCGAUGUCGUCUAUUUUGUUUCCUUCUUGCAGCUUGGCCACUGGUGGUAGCAACCACUUCCUCGUCACUGCUGCUCUCUUCAUUCCCCGGAACACCUUCACCGCCGUUGCCCACACUGCCUGCGUCUCCUUCAGCUUCCUCCUCCUCACUGUUGCUCCUCUCACCCUCAUCUGCAGGGAUCAGAAUAAGCCAAUAGAAAAUCUACCAGCCAACACCAAAAUUAAGAGUUUGGUUCCAAAAAGCUAUCUAUCCAUCUUUGAAAAUAUUCAAAAGUCAUGUAUUUGGAAUGUAUUAUUUUAGAAAUGUUUGACCAGAUUUUAAUUAUGUAUAAAUAAAUCAAGUACAACUGUAGGCCUAAUGCAUAUCCACUGAUAUAUCUAAAACACAAAAUGUAAAUAUAUAGACUAUGUAUUUCUGAAAAUGAAUGAAAAUGGCUUCUAUAGUGUUCUGGAAACAACCUCUUCUAAUUUACCAGCAUUGGCUGGUGCUAAUUUUGAAUCCUGUUUCACCUGGCUUGGCAACAUCCUCAUUACUGCUGCUCCUGUCCCUUUCACUGCUGCUCUCAUCACCUGGCCUUGGCACAUAUUCCUCAUCGCUGCCUGCACUGUCACUCAGACAACUAUCCUCACUGUCUUGUGGGAGUGCCCUUACGUGCGGUUGCGCGCUUGCGCUCUUGCCGUAAAAAACGGAGGGUUUCAUUCAGGUCUACAGAGAAAUAAAUGGCAGUUGUAUUCGCAUCCCAGCGUAGUGUCAGUAUAAUGAUUAUCUGAAAUAACUUAGCAAAAUACAGUGGAUUCCCUAGAUAAGCCGCCCAAAAAGAGUUUUACUAAUUAGCGCUGGUUAGUGGUUAGCAUUAGGCUAACGGCCUACUGUCGCUAAUAUGCUACAAAGCUAAAUAUGAUAAUAACUUCAAAAAUACGAAUCACACACAUUUCACCUCAUUACGUCAAGUGUAUAAGCACACAAUAAGCAUGUGAGUAUUUUUAUCUAACCACAACUUACCUUAAAAUUAACACAGGAUUGAACUUCCCCAACUCCUAUCGUGAGCAGCAUAACCGGAUUUAUCCUUGUACGUAAAGAGUUAACAGGUCCGUCACUUUGCGGUCCCACGGGAAACAACUGCUUGUCGAAGGUUCCUAGGCGUUAAGGGGUUAAGUGCCAUGCCCUCUUGGAAGGACACCAGAUCCUUUAAGGGGGCAACAGAGACUUCACUCGAUGCCAGCUGCCCCUUUUCCACCACAUCCUGUGGUAUGGUGAUGAUGUGACCACGGACAAUGGCACUCUUCAAGUUCUUGACGAGAUGAGGAACGUCAGGCAUGAAAUGGAGGCGCUGGCUUGGCUCAACAGGAUGCUGGAUCCAUGGCUUGUCAUAGGUCACCCCAACGGACUUCCACAUUGCUCUAUUGGGGCUCCCCAUGUCUGUGGUGAUGUUCAGCACAUGAAGCCCUACAGAUGCCACCGCUUCAACAAUGUUGAUUAUGAUGGGCCGGUAAACUGCGCCAUUGGUGGAAUUGCCACUAUAGUG
ensembl:lncRNA